rnacentral:rRNA from 1 species
CCUACGGGGGGCUGCAGUGGGGAAUAUUGGACAAUGGGGGCAACCCUGAUCCAGCCAUGCCGCGUGUGUGAAGAAGGCCCUCGGGUUGUAAAGCACUUUCAGUGAGGAAGAACGCCUGGUGGUUAAUACCCAUCAGGAAAGACAUCACUCACAGAAGAAGCACCGGCUAACUCCGUGCCAGCAGCCGCGGUAAUACGGAGGGUGCGAGCGUUAAUCGGAAUUACUGGGCGUAAAGCGCGCGUAGGUGGCUUGAUAAGCCGGUUGUGAAAGCCCCGGGCUCAACCUGGGAACGGCAUCCGGAACUGUCAAGCUAGAGUGCAGGAGAGGAAGGUAGAAUUCCCGGUGUAGCGGUGAAAUGCGUAGAGAUCGGGAAGAAUACCAGUGGCGAAGGCGGCCUUCUGGACUGACACUGACACUGAGGUGCGAAAGCGUGGGUAGCAAACAGGAUUAGAUACCCCGGUAGUC